rnacentral:rRNA from 1 species
UGCUAGCUUGCUAGAGCCUACACACAGGUGCUGCACGGCUGUCGUCAGCUCGUGUCGUGAGAUGUUGGGUUAAGUCCCGCAACGAGCGCAACCCUCGUCCUUAGUUGCUAACGGUUCGGCCGAGCACUCUAGGGAGACUGCCUUCGCAAGGAGGAGGAAGGUGAGGACGACGUCAAGUCAUCAUGGCCCUUACGGCCAGGGCUACACACGUGCUACAAUGGGGCGUACAGAGAGCUGCGAUACCGCGAGGUGGAGCCAAUCUCUUAAAGCGUCUCUCAGUUCGGAUUGUUCUCUGCAACUCGAGAACAUGAAGCUGGAAUCACUAGUAAUCGCAGAUCAGCUAUGCUGCCGGUGAACUACAUUCCGGGUCUU